rnacentral:rRNA from 2 species
CUAUACAUGCAAGUCGAACGAACUUUCUACACGAAUGCUUGCAUUCACCGUAAGAAGUUGAGUGGCGGACGGGUGAGUAACACGUGGGUAACCUGCCUAAAAGAAGGGGAUAACACUUGGAAACAGGUGCUAAUACCGUAUAUCUCUAAGGAUCGCAUGAUCCUUAGAUGAAAGAUGGUUCUGCUAUCGCUUUUAGAUGGACCCGCGGCGUAUUAACUAGUUGGUGGGGUAACGGCCUACCAAGGUGAUGAUACGUAGCCGAACUGAGAGGUUGAUCGGCCACAUUGGGACUGAGACACGGCCCAAACUCCUACGGGAGGCAGCAGUAGGGAAUCUUCCACAAUGGACGCAAGUCUGAUGGAGCAACGCCGCGUGAGUGAAGAAGGUCUUCGGAUCGUAAAACUCUGUUGUUAGAGAAGAACACGAGUGAGAGUAACUGUUCAUUCGAUGACGGUAUCUAACCAGCAAGUCACGGCUAACUACGUGCCAGCAGCCGCGGUAAUACGUAGGUGGCAAGCGUUGUCCGGAUUUAUUGGGCGUAAAGGGAACGCAGGCGGUCUUUUAAGUCUGAUGUGAAAGCCUUCGGCUUAACCGGAGUAGUGCAUUGGAAACUGGAAGACUUGAGUGCAGAAGAGGAGAGUGGAACUCCAUGUGUAGCGGUGAAAUGCGUAGAUAUAUGGAAGAACACCAGUGGCGAAAGCGGCUCUCUGGUCUGUAACUGACGCUGAAGUUCGAAGCGUGGUAGCAACAGAUAGAUA